UAUGUCCAUAUCAUGUUGAAACACUGGUUCUCGUACGAUCACCGAAGUUAAGCAGCAUUGAUCCUGGUCAGUACCUGGAGGGGUAACCGCUCGGGAAAACCGUUUGUUGUAA